rnacentral:tRNA from 1 species
AGCAAGGUGGCUGAGUUGGAGGCGAUAAAUUGUAAAUUUAUUAACGAGUGUAAACUUUCUUGUUA